rnacentral:lncRNA from 1 species
AAAAUUUAAGUGAUGAAAGAAAGAGAAAGUAGAAUGACUCUUAUAGGAGGUUUCUAAUCAAUUAGAUCCUUCCCUAAUCGAUUAGGAGCUUUAAUACAAUUGAUUAAAUGAUUGAUUGUUGAAAUGAAUAGACUUUUGAAGUCUUAUCGAUUACAAUACAUAGAAUUUGAAUUUUCAACUAAAUAUUUGUUAUAACUCUAGUGUGCAUUGAAAGUUCUCUAUGAUUUUUGCAUUUUAUUUUUU